GGCGGUGGAGUGCGGCGAGCCGGACUGAAGUGACAGAGGCGGCGACGGCGGUGGAGUGCGGCGAGCCGAACUGGAACGACGGCGGGCGAUGGAGUGCGGCGAGCCGAACUGGAACUGGAGGCUGCACUGCCGCUGCUGCUGGCGGGCGAGCGAGCGCGGCGUGACGGCGGCCGAUGGAGGGAGAGAAGCAGGGAGCGAGGCAGGGACGGCGAGCGAAGCAGGGAGGGCGAGCGAAGCAGAGAUCGGCGAUGGAGGUGAGGCACGCCGACUCCAGCAGGAUCCUCGCUGCAGUGCCCUCGUUGUUUUCGGCGAUGGAGGUGAGAUGGG
rnacentral:lncRNA from 1 species